CUGGCGGCGAGUGGCGAACGGGUGAGUAAUAUAUCGGAACGUACCCUGGAGUGGGGGAUAACGUAGCGAAAGUUACGCUAAUACCGCAUACGAUCUAAGGAUGAAAGUGGGGGAUCGCAAGACCUCAUGCUCCUGGAGCGGCCGAUAUCUGAUUAGCUAGUUGGUGGGGUAAAGGCUCACCAAGGCUUCGAUCAGUAGCUGGUCUGAGAGGACGACCAGCCACACUGGAACUGAGACACGGUCCAGACUCCUACGGGAGGCAGCAGUGGGGAAUUUUGGACAAUGGGCGCAAGCCUGAUCCAGCAAUGCCGCGUGAGUGAAGAAGGCCUUCGGGUUGUAAAGCUCUUUUGUCAGGGAAGAAACGGUGAGGGCUAAUAUCUCUUGCUAAUGACGGUACCUGAAGAAUAAGCACCGGCUAACUACGUGCCAGCAGCCGCGGUAAUACGUAGGGUGCAAGCGUUAAUCGGAAUUACUGGGCGUAAAGCGUGCGCAGGCGGUUUUGUAAGUUUGUCGUGAAAGCCCCGGGCUCAACCUGGGAAUUGCGAUGAAGACUGCAAGGCUUGAAUCUGGCAGAGGGGGGUAGAAUUCCACGUGUAGCAGUGAAAUGCGUAGAGAUGUGGAGGAACACCGAUGGCGAAGGCAGCCCCCUGGGUCAAGAUUGACGCUCAUGCACGAAAGCGUGGGGAGCAAACAGGAUUAGAUACCCUGGUAGUCCACGCCCUAAACGAUGUCUACUAGUUGUCGGGUUUUAAUUAACUUGGUAACGCAGCUAACGCGUGAAGUAGACCGCCUGGGGAGUACGGUCGCAAGAUUAAAACUCAAAGGAAUUGAC
rnacentral:rRNA from 1 species